CGAUGAGGACUAGAGUGCUGGACUCCUUGGCUCAGCUGCCCAAACAGUGUGUGGAAUUGGAGUGCAGUGUGACUGGUUUCUAAGACAUUUGGUUAGCUGAUCUGAUGUGUUGGUGCAUUUCUUGUGCGUCUUAUGUUUAUGUUAGAUGUGUGUACUGAGGUCACAAGAAGGUUUGGAAGCUAUGUGUUGUUUGCUUACAGUUUCUCCAUGGCUUCUGUUCCUACUUAGUCUGUGAGCUUGUAUCGUUGUUCAGUCUAUCAAUACUGAGAGUUUAUUAUAUCUGUCUUAUUCUACAGUCAAUUUUUUUCAUUAUUCAGUUUAUUUUUAUUCAGUUGCGAGCUUGCAUUGCGAUGGCCUUAUUCUCAGUAUUUCCACACAUAUCAUUCAGUUUCAUUCAGUCUAGUACCUCAGUUUUUUAGCUCCUCAUUUUCCAGUUUUUACAUUUUAGUCUUCAUGACCGGUAAACAAACAUGAAAAUCAUGGAAAGUCUUUCUUCAGUAACCCCCCCUGCCCUUUUGGUUGUUGUUGUCUGUCUGUCUUCAAUCUCUCUUCUUCAGUUCUAAGCCAACUGCUCGACAGAUAGCUAUUUCUACAGUAGUACACGGACUCGAUCACUCGCAACAGAAGAGACACCGGCACAAUGAUCAGCGGGGCGUGGAAGUGCAGCUCCAGCGUUGUCGUAUUGUAGGGGAGACCAAGGUCCCGGGGCCGUCCAUCUUCUUGCUCUUGGUGUCCAGGAAACGCGUCAAAGUCAGCAGUUGGGGCGUCAAGCUGCAGGCAGCACACAGACGCUCGAGCUGCAGGAUCACCGGGUAGUAGUGCGCUGGACCGAAGCGAGCCUCAGCAUUCAGCCAUUCUCCGGUAGCAUGGGCGCCCUCAGAAGCUGGAGUCUCCGUCAUGGAUUCCUUGAAGCAAACCACAUAGCAAUCCAAAAACCACAGGAACGGCAUUUUCCAAGACAAGGAAAACAUUGCGUGACAUUUUUUUUUUUCAGAAAAUGGAAAUGCCGCAGAGUCUUCUAGGUUUCAUGUAGCCAACUCAAGCAUUUAAGCAAACAGUAACAGAAGUACACCUUAUAUGCUAAACAGAAAUACAGUUCGCUCGCUCGACAUGAUCAGGGCGAAUUCGACACGAGAACCACUGGUCAAACAUGGUAGCUCGCACGAUUCACACUUAAACUGCAUAACAGAUAAGAAACCAACUUAUGAACCUGAAGUGCAAAUUCUCUAGCCACAUUAUCAUGAUGAACUGAACGAGGGCAACCGCAACUGAUCACGAUUGACUUGCACCACUUCACGCUUAAAACUCCUCAACAGAGACAAAAUACAACCUGGUAUUAGUAGCUUGGAAGAAGCCAACGGCAGCAGACUAGAGAUGACGGGUUUGCCCAUUUUGCAAUUCAUCACCAUUGAGCCGCACAUCAGAGAUCAGUGGGUCUUCGCUAGCGCCAACAAUAUGCCACGAUCUGAAAAAAAAAUACCAAGCAGAAAACCCGUAACCAACUGUCCAUCUUAGAAUUUAUAAUUUGAUGUGCGGCUGUAUGUAUAACUAGUUCCAAGGGUUACAGGACUGCAUUUGACAUGUGAGCUUCAGCUAAACCAGAAAGUAAUUUAAUGCAUCUUAACGAAAAAUCUGAAGCAAGGUAAAGUGAUAAUGCAAUAUCAACAAGGUUGAAUAAAUAUUUAGCAAUCUCUAUUUGAACCUAGCAUGCACUUCAUGCUUCACCAACUAUUUGACCAAUCAACAGCAGUAGCAAAACAGAGACAUUUUAUUCCAGGGGUAAUGUUGCAUCUAAUAGCACAGAAGAAUAACCGGACCUGAGUCCACAAUUGAAAAGUGGCUACAGAAACAAGAGGUGACUUAUUUUAGGACAGGACAUCCCAACAUCAGUUUCCAAGUUUUAGUAAAAGUGAAAAACAUCCGAGUUCCGCGCCUGUUAGAAUCUAUUUACAAAUGCUAAACGCUUUGUGGUGAAAGUAAGUUCCUUGUCCACCAAUUGUUUUUCCAAGAAGUCUGGUACUGCUACUUGACAUAUCCUUUAAAGACAAGAUCAACAUUGAAGUCAUACUAAAAUUUCAUGAAAGGGAGACGACAUAGAUUACACAUAAUUUCUGUUCCAAGUAGCUGAGCCAAGAAUUAGGCAAACAGUAGCAGAAAUAUGCCUCACAUAUUAAUCUGAAAUACAACCUUUUGACAUUAUGAUCAGGACGAAUUCAACAAGACAACAUCAAUUAAUUGUAAGGACUUGCACAAUUUGUAAGUAAACUGCUGAACAGAGAAUAAACGACUUCACACUUCAUAAUAGCAGCUCUGAAAGAAACCAGCAGCACACUUUGAUCAGUUAAUCUGUAUUAGCGAUAACAAUGUGCCAUGAUCUAAAAUAUAUCAUGUACAAAACUCAUAACAAACUCCAAUUCAGCAUUUUACUUUGGUGAGCUAUAUGCUAGUACCAAUUCCAAUGGUUACAACUUACAACACUGGGUUUGAGAUGUGACCUUCAGCUAUGCCACAAAAUAAGAGAUGGUUAUUUAUAAGAAAGUCUGACGGAAGGUAACAGGAUAGUACGAGACCAACAUGUUUGUGUACAUAUUCCGCAAUUCGACCAAUGCAUGGUCAUGGUCCUUCACAUGUCAAAUCUCAUAUCAUACAUUACAUUAUGUUCUCCAGCGUCAUAUAUUAAGUUUUCUCUAUCACAGAGAAUUGUGCUUGGCAAGAUUCAUAUGUGAAUAUAUAUAUAUAACAAACAUAUAUUACUUUCACUACGACUAAUUGUUCACAACCAAGUAAAUAAGCAAACAUACAGAAGCCGUAACAAAAAUGCAAGACAAUAGACAAGAAGCAAGGUCUAGAACCAAUACCUGGAGUGUAGAAGCUCAUGUAGGGUAGGACGCUAAAGUACUGUGCGGGCUCAUCAACCUUUCUGACUCGCCCUGACUUGAGCUCUAGAGUGAAUAAGCCAGCAUCUGUGUUUAUGAAGAUGACACCCACACCCUCUGCGGAACCAACCACAAAUGGUUGGUAAUCUGGAUCCACGACGGGCACAAUUGUCUCCAGCUCGAUGUUCCUGCAUUUUACCCAUUCAGCAGCUGCUUCUGAAUUCACCUUCCUUGACCACAGAUAAAGACUAGAACUCUCAGUGCAGGCAAACCCCAGCGAACUGUCCUCCAUCACCAUGAGAGCAAUUGGGCUCCUAGUGUGUGGCGGCGGGUCGAUCAUGGAUAAGCAGUUGUUUGGCAAGUUGUACUUGACGAUUUUGUGAGCAGAGCGAAGUGUGAAGUAGACCUCAUCUCCAAUGACAGCUACUCGCCGGGGCAUGACAUAGGGCAGGUGGUAGAGGUUUUCUGCAAUGUCAUCUCGGAUGUGCUGGGAAUAGCAUUCGCAACCAUCGUCAAGAGAUACUGGCGCACUCCACGCACCUGUCACCGACGAGUACACGCUCGCCUUAACCUGGCGGUCGUCGUCGUCGGUGGCCAGGAAGGCGACGCGGAAGGGGCCGCCUUGGCAGUCGAGAUGUUGGCAGCCAUCGGCGGCGCAGAAGACCGCGGCAGUGCAGAUGAGCCAGACGAUGCCCGGCGCGGGGAGGACGUGCCGGUCGCCCGUGACCGGGUCCGAGACGACGAAAACCAGGCCCUCGUCCUGCACCAUGUGGAUGAGCACGCGGCCGUGGCGGCAGUCGAGGGGAACGGGGUGCUUGCCCUGGCCGUCGGAGCCCGGGUAGGGGAAGUCUGGCAUCGACGUGGUGGAGGUGAAGCGGGGCGCGGGCCUUUGUUGGAGGACUUGGAACUGUUGGAGGAGGCCGAGGAGGGGAGGGGCUCCGUGGAAGGCGCGGUAGCGGCGGCGGAAGGAGGGGUCGCAGACGACGCGGAGCCACGACUUGCAGACGAGGGCGGCGCGGAAGAGGUGCUCGGGAUCGUCGGGAGGAAGGAGGAGGAGGACCUCGCCGACGAGCUCGUCCAUCAGCUCCGGCGGUGGGGCCAUGGUGCGGUCGGCGGAAUGGGUGGGGGGCGCCGCCGGGUCGGUGGGUCGGGGAGGAGGUGAAGAAGCGAGUGAGACGGCCCGUUCUACUUGGUUCGGCUCGACCAGGGUCUGUGCCGCGUGUGGCCUCGCUCAAUAGAAAAUCAUGAAACCUCCUAGUGUGCGGGGACCUCCAAAUCUCCAAUACAGAAUCACUAGGAUCCCGAUAACUGUCACACGUGUGGCAUGGACAGAAACUCGCCCGCGCGCCUCGUGUGGCAUGGACAAUAACCAGCCCGCACGACCACGUCCGCGCGCGCAAAGGCACAGCCCGCACGUCCGAUGUGUGGCAACUCCGUCCGGACGUGCGGGCCAGAGGACCCAGCAGCCCGCACGAUCCAGCCGUCCCGGCCUCUUCUCCCACCUCCCGAAUCCCGACUGCCGUCAUCUUCUCCCACCUCCCGAACCCCUACCUCCAUCGCCGGCCUUUUCUGGUUGCCAUGGCAACCNNNNNNNNNNNNNNNNNNNNNNNNNNNNNNNNNNNNNNNNNNNNNNNNNNNNNNNNNNNNNNNNNNNNNNNNNNNNNNNNNNNNNNNNNNNNNNNNNNNNNNNNNNNNNNNNNNNNNNNNNNNNNNNNNNNNNNNNNNNNNNNNNNNNNNNNNNNNNNNNNNNNNNNNNNNNNNNNNNNNNNNNNNNNNNNNNNNNNNNNNNNNNNNNNNNNNNNNNNNNNNNNNNNNNNNNNNNNNNNNNNNNNNNNNNNNNNNNNNNNNNNNNNNNNNNNNNNNNNNNNNNNNNNNNNNNNNNNNNNNNNNNNNNNNNNNNNNNNNNNNNNNNNNNNNNNNNNNNNNNNNNNNNNNNNNNNNNNNNNNNNNNNNNNNNNNNNNNNNNNNNNNNNNNNNNNNNNNNNNNNNNNNNNNNNNGGCUAAAAGCAGGUGAAUCUCCCGAUCUCCCUACUGCUUCUCAUCCUUCUACGUGGCACAGAAAAUUGCAAAAUUACUGACGAGGUUGGCAACUAGAUCCAUCGUACAGGGGUAAUACACUACAUGGAUUGUGUGUCUUCGUAGUUGCCAAGCAGAAUACACUAGAUCUGCCAUGUACUACGUUAGAGAUAACCGUAAGUUACUAGAUUGAUGCACGUAGUUGGUAAAUGAAUGGAUGUGUAGGAAUCCAUAAAAAGGUAGAGAAAAUUGAGAAAUUUGGAAUAAUGGGGGGGUGUGAAAAUUAAUUGUCACUGGUGUCUAACGUCAGUUGCCAUCUAUCAUUGUCGUCAACUGCCACCAUGUCAACUUAUUGCUUGCCAUCCUAUUGUAGUGGCUGAUGCCAUCGAAUCGAACGGAUAGCUAGCACCCAGAUUUUAAAAAAGAUAGUGGAUGUACAUGUCCUACUAGCCAUGAUAUGUUGGUUGCCUACGCAUGACAAUGUGAUAACACUGACGUGUUAACUUCUACAUCCAAGCAGCACAAGGAUACAUUUUUUGUGGAUUGUUGAUGCGUUCUUCUUCAUGCAGUGAUUGAUAGCACAUUGGCAGAAACGAGACGCGGAAAAGAAUGAGUCACGGAGAUGGCGCUGAUCUUUUCGGUUCUCAAAGGUCAGAAACGCCCCCUUGGAAUGCAUCAGAGUACAGUCAACUCAUUUCUGCAGGGCCGUUGCUGCCACUACUAGAACAGUACGCAAGCAUUGGUAUGAUGCAUGAUAACAAAGAAAAAGAACAUUUGCCAUGUUCGCGACGAUGAAGAUGACAGUCUACUUAUGUCCUACACUGUCGUUUUUUCGCAGGUUCUUAUGACCAAAACACACUCAGGGGGGCACCAUGGCAAGUUCAGUCACAGGGCGCUAACACUGACAAAUGUACGGGCAUCCAACUUUAAGUAGCUAAUGUGGCAAAUCAAGGUAACGCAUACGAAAAAGAAACAUAUUGGUCUGGACAUGAAAAAUAAACUUGCAAAGGAUGGCAAAAGACUCACGAGUUAUGUCGGAAAAAAUGCAGAGCCUUCAUGCAACACGUGGCAUCAGGCGGCACCCAUGUACCUGCAUCGAUGUCAUACACAAGUGAGUCCAUAAAAAGUGAAGUUGCAGACGAUGGAUUAGCAGAAGGAGUAUAGUUGACAACUGCAGUUGCCAUGAAUAAACAAAAUGCAGUUGCCAUGAAUAAAAAAAAUGCAGUUGCCAUGACUAAACAACUGCAGUUGCCAUCCCUGGACAACUGCAGUUGCCAUCCCUGGACAACUGCAGUUUCCAUGCCAGGACAACUGCAAUUGCCAUGCCUAGACAACUGCAGUUGCCAUGCCAGGACAAAAUGCAAUCACCAUGUAUUGACCAACAACUACCAUGCUUACAGGUUAUUACAGUGGUGCUACCCCGACAAACAUCUCAUGGCAAGCUUCACAUAUUGCAGAUAGAGCACGUCUUUUUGGUGUGAUAGACCACACAAGAUGGGCACAUGCAGCACAACAAGGUAAGGAAAAUUUGAACCGCAAAAAUAGCGCUGCACUUGUUUUUGUGGGAAUAGCACGUGAGAAAACAGAAGAUUUGUAGCAGUGAUGGUGGAAAAAAUCAAACUAAAAAGUGGUUUGUGCAAUGAGUCAUAUAUUGUCUUCGGGAUUUGCCAACUGCUAAAAGCAUGCGUGCAGCACUAAUGGUUGAUCGCAUUUGCCUAGUAGGCUCAAGCCUAGAAUACAAAAGCUUUGAUGCUAGAACACACUGGUUGCCAUGUGUUGGCAGCAGUAUUUGCCAUGUAUGUAGGACUGCAGCUGCCAUGCAUAUAGAAUUCAAGUUUCUGUACUGAAAUGAGCUGGUUGCCAUGCAUUGGCAACAUUAGUUGCCAUGUUUGUUGGACUGUAGUUGCCAUGACUGGACAACUAUAGUUGCCAUGCAUGUCCACGGGCAGACUCACGGCUUGCUGUUUGAAUGAUGUCAUGCCAGAUCACUUGGAGUUGAUGUGAUCCGUUACGAUAAACAUGUUAUUCAUGGCAAAAUCUUACGCUCGUACCUGUUUUUUCUAUUACAGGGCCUGCAACUACAUUGAACAGCGGCACAGGGACAUCUACCGCGGGGAGCUCUGAGCGCACGGAAGACGCGUUCCACCAGCCUGCCGACAAUCAUGACACAAACAUGCCGAGUCAGAGUCGGAAAUGGCAAUCAUUCCAACAAUGCCGACAUGCACCCCUUUGAACACAAGCACUGGCAACACUCAAGUAGAUGAAACUGCCGCCGAUACUGAAGUGAAUAAUGAAACUGAUGAGAAGCACAAGGGGAUGAAGAUGAUGGGCAAUCAGAGAUCGUGGUACCUCAGCCACCGUACGUUGGGCAAAGAUUUGAAUCGUUUGCAAAAGCAAAGGAAUUCUACCAGACAUAUGCAAAGUUCCAUGGGUUUGCGGUCAACACCGAAUACCAUAGGAAAAUUAAGAAAACUAAUGAGUACAGUAGAGGUGAGAUGAGGUGCCACAAGGCACGAAGGAACAAGAAGGGAAAAGGUGUUGCGCCUGUCGUUCCGGAACGAAAGAGAGGUAUCAUUCUCAAGACGGGAUGCCCUGUCCGGUGUAAGCUGAACGUAGAUGGAACACAAUAUGUGGUCACCGAAUAUUUUGAUGAGCACAACCACAAACUCAUAAAGAAGUUCGACCUGGUGAAGUUUCCGACUGCCCACAGAGGAUUCACCCCACUCGAGAGGAAAUUCAUAAAGCUGCUACAUGAUUGUAACGUCGGUCCAUCAAAAAUGGUGCAGAUACUAUCACUCAUCCACAUCAAAAAUGGGACUCUGAGUAGCAUGCCCUACAUACCAGCUGACGUCACAAACCUAAAGGCAAAAUACCGUAGAGAGAGCAAGUUGGCUGACAUAGAAUCCACGAUGGCCUACUUCGAUGAGAAAUCGAAGGAAGAUCCACAUUUCUUCUACAUGAUAAGGUUGGACGAUGAGGACCAUGUCAGGAACAUGUAUUGGGUGGAUGGUGCUGCAAGAAGAGCCUACAAACAUUUCCGAAAUUGCAUUUCAUUCGACGCGGCGUAUCUCACUAAUAUGUACAAGAUGCCGUGCGCUCCAUUCAUAGGAAUAAAUAACCACAAUCAAUCGUUGCAGUUCGGGUGCGGGCUCGUUCGGAACAAAGACACGGAUGGGUACGUUUGACUGUUCAAGACCUUCUUGGAGUGCAUGGAUGGACUUGCUCCGAUGAACAUAAUAACUGACCAGGAUUUUAGUAUGUGUGUAGUCAUAGAGGAGGUCUUUCUAUUGGCAGUGUACAUGCACUGUAGAUGGCAAAUUAUAAAGAAGUCUGAGGAGUUGCUAGGACCGUUCUUUGCUGACCGUCCGGAGCUGCACAAGGCAUUCAAGCUGUGCAUGGACCACAGCUUGAUGGUGGAGGAGUUUGAAAGGAGCUGGAUGGCCAUGAUUGAAACAUAUCAAGUCCAAAACAACGAGACUCUUGCUAGCAUGUGGGAGAAGCGAAUGUAUUGGGUGCCGGCCUACUUCAUGCAGUGCUUCUUCCCUUUUCUGCAGACUACACAGCACAGCGAGGGGUUCAAUGCUGUUUUAAAGCGGUACGUGAGCCCUGACAACUCAUUGCUACAGUUUGCCAAGCAGUACACAACUUUGCAACAAAAAAUACUGGGAUCUGAGCUACAACAAGAAGUGAACACCGUGCUAAAGCAGCCAAAAUUACUAACGUAUUUAUCGAUGGAGAGGCGGAUGAGCAAGAUAUACACCAACAAGAUCUUUAACAAGUAAGUCAGUUGCGUUACAGUCUUAUUUACACAAAGCACGAAGGCAGUAGGUCCCAUAUAAAAUGCAAUACAGUUGCCAUGAUUUGUGGUUGACAUGUUUAAUGAAAUACUGUUUGCCAUGCUUACUCAGCUGCAAUUGCCAUGUUCAAUGAAAAUACUGUUUGACAUGCUUACUCACAUGCAGUUGCCAUGUUCAAUGAAAUACAACUAUCAUGUUUAAUGCACUGUACUUCCAUUGGACAAGUUGGUAUGCAAAUGCCAAUGUCAACUGAAAAUGUUAGGUUGUCGCCAUUUGUACUGAAAUGCAAUUGCCAUGUUUACUAAAAUGCAACUGCCAUGUUUGCUGAAAUGCAAUUGCCAUGUUUACUCAACUGUAGUUGCCAUGUUUAAUAAAAUGCAGUUGCCAUGUUUUAUGCAAUGUGCUUCCAUUGAGAAUGUUGGUGUGGAAAUAACGAUGGCCGGUUGAAAAUGUACUGCAGUUGCCAUAUCUAAUGUACUGCAGUUGCCAUGUGUAAUGUACUAUAGUUGCCAUGUCUAAUGUACUACAGUUGCCAUGUUCAAGGUACUAUAUUUUUCAUGUUCAAUGUACUAUAUUUCCCAUGUUCAGACAAAAUGUAUUUCUAUUUACAUGACAACAUAAGGUGCUACAAAAAAAGUUCGCAUGAUAGUUUAACAGAAAACACACAAAACUUGCAGAUUCCAGGAAGAAAUCAAGCGUGCCAGCAUGUUCACGACUUUCCAGGUGGACGAACAUACGUUCAAGGUGUGUUCUAUUUUGGGCAUGUCAGAUUCAAAACCUGAAGACCCGGACAAAGGAAGGAACUACUUCGUGAAAGCCUCGAUCGGACAAGGCGAAUACUACUGCCAAUGCUGCAAGUUUGAACGGGACGACAUUGUGUGCUGUCACAUACUAAAAGUAAUGGACAUGAAUGCUGUGACACGGAUGCCCCGCCAUUUCAUAAGGCGGCAAUGGACUUGGGACGCUGAUGACGCGUUGGCGCCGUAGACAACAAACAUAGUUCUGGCUGUGCAUGAUGAGAGACCUGAGUCAACCAUGGAAGCCGUGAGGCACGUUGUGCUAACAAAGAACUAUGCUGACCUAAUUGAUGAAGCAUGUAAGAGUGAUGAGACAGUGAGAGUCGCAGAAAAAACAUAGGAAGGCCCUGAAAAGAGAGCUUGAUGAGAUCAAGAAGAGGAAAGCUGAGGAAGCCUUACACAGGUUCCCCCGCACAUCAAGUGUGCCUUCGUCCACGGGGCCAUCAUCUGAAAACUUGGAGAUAGGAUCUGGAACAGCAAGCACACAAACCCAGGUCAGGAACCCGCCCCGUUCCAUCACAAAGGGGCGUCCAAAAGAGACAAGGUACAAAUUGGGAUUGGAGAUUCAAGCAAAACACAAGAAAACGAAGAAAGGGAUGGGCAAUCCGUAAGCAAAAUUGGGGCAUUGUGACAUGGUCCUUGUGGACAUUUUGUUUUGUAACCUAGAUGUUGUGAUUUUUUUUAAAUUGGGAGAAUGACUCUUGAGGGGCAUCAGAAGUAGAAGGAAAAAUACAUUGAAUGGAUAACUGCAGUUGCCAUGUUGUGGGUACUUAAUCUGCCAUGUUAUGUGUAGUUAAUCUGUCAUGCUAUUUUAUACUAAAUAUGCCAUGCUAUUUUAUUCUAAAUAUGCCAUGAUAUUUUAUACUGGAUCUGCCAUGUUAAUUAUACUGGAUCUGCCAUGUUAAUUGUACUGGAUCUGCCAUGUAGUUUAUGCUGAAUCUGCCGUCUUGUUUGUACUGAAUCUGCCAUGUUAGCUGUACUGAAAUAUGCCAUGUUAUUUGUAAAGACUCUGCAUCACAUAUAUUUCCAUGUUAAUUCAACGCGGUUUAGUCACACAUAGUGUGUUGUGUGCAAAAUGUAUGGGAAACAAGUUGAUAAAAGCAUAAUGUGCAUCAACCGCAGGAAAAGUUACAGCUACAUGAUCAAACUACCAUGCUAGCCGGUGCAGUUAGCAAUGAAAAAGAAAGAAGCAAAAUAGCCAAAUGAAAAACGAUGAUGACUUUCACUAACCACAUCUGAUGAACUACAUUUGCCAUGUUUUAAAAUAUCGUAGACGCAUUCGAAGCAGCAAACUGGUGCUACAAACAAUGAAACCAUAAUAAUAAUGAUAAACAUAAAAUGUAUCUGCUGUCACGCCUAAAUAGGUUCACAUCCACACAUAUAUUACAGAAAAUAUUCAAAUGUCUCUCACACACCACCACUACAUACUAGGCUACGCGGGGUUGCAGUCAUAACAUAGCAGACGGACAUAGUUUUGACAAGAACAAAGAUAGUACCUUGCAUUCCUCGGUAACAGAUUGUAAGGUUUGCGUCCGGUGUGUAACGCCACGUGAUCACUUAUACUUCUUGAUGACUUUCUUGACAACUUCCUCCACGAACUUGCGUGCUCCGGACUGCUUGUUGAAAUCUUCAUUCGUCAACCAAUUCCAUGUGUAAAUUUUCCGGAGCUCAACAACCGUUGCAGCUGUGACAGCGGGAAUAAGUCUACCUUCCCACUUUGCAAAGUAUUCCAACGUGUGAAAGCCACAGUCCAUCCUGCACAAGAAAAAGAGUGAUGUGAACUCGCAAAAAGGACAGACAUAACAAUGUUAAACUUCAAUUCAGAUGUAACAACAAAGAGGGGUGGGAUUGAUGUAAAUGGCACAUGAAGGAGGGGGUAGGAAAUUACGUGUUCCCUUGAUUCGUAGUCACCACGUACUCAAUCGGGAAAUGUCUGAUAUGGACCUUUGAGUUUUCAUAGUGACGGUUCCAUGUCUCUUUGACGUUGUUGAUGAAGAAUUCAGCAUGCGAAGUAAGGUCAGCAUCAGCUGCCGAACGCAUUGAAUCAAGCACCUCAAAGCGUUGGUUUCUCAGGUCAAGAUAGAUCGCGUAGUGGUGACCACACUUGUCGCGUGGGUCGUGUGGUGCAAGCUCCUGGAACAUGGGGAACAGGACCUGCAAGUAAAAAUGAAGGAAAUGAGAAGCAAAGUUCACAUGAAGAAUAAUAAAGGGACAACAAAAGUAGAAUCACGUAGAAUGUUCAGUUAUAGUGGGUAGUUGAAAGAAAGUUGCCGUCCAUGUAUGAACAAAAUUUGCCGUGUAUUUUACUUUGAAGUUGCCACAUAGUUUGCACGGUAUGCAAAAAUCAAAAAGUCAGUUUGCAUGGCAGCUGAUGCCACAUGAAACAUUUGCCACAUAAACAGAGUGCAGAUAAUGGCAAAAAAUCAUACCAUGUGAAAAAAAUGCAAACAUGGAAGGAGUACUCACAUAUUUCUUCAUUGUGAGCUUGAAUUCACCGUGUUGAGCAAAAUUCUUCCUCAGGAUUUUGUGAUUGAAGUCACCAUCCCAUAUUUUGCAGGUCACACUAUAAUGCAUGAUUAUUUUGUCGGGAGACAUAUCCAUAUACUUGUUGAUGUAGUCAAUCCCACAUGCAACUAUAUUCGUCGGCAUUUUACCGUUUGGCCUCACGGACUCAGCAAGAUCACCCAGGUCGACGUAUGUCGCUUCGCAUUGAAUGACCUUGGUUCUGUCCAAACAUGAGCUAUAUAAAAAUGAUAUAACAUGAAAGAAUCAUGUCUACUAAGUAAAAAAGGAAGAACUAAAACGUAAGCAGAUCAUGUCUAGAAAGUAGAAAAAAAUAUGAAUGGUAGAAAGAGCAAAGCAAAAAUGUGGUCAUUACGCUUUUAGCUCCUUCAUGUGCUUGCUGCUGGCCCUGGCAUUACCAAAUCACUUGACAAUAUCGUACAGCUGGGUCUGUUCCUUUGUGGCCCUGACUUCGGGCUCGUAGUCUUCCACGGGAGGUGGGUAAACUACCCUCUGCUGCCUCACAAAACCAGGGGUGGUACUCCUAAUGGUAUCCUCAGAUACCGUAUCUGCAGGCACAUUGGAACUUGAUUGCCCCUGACCUCGUGAGGACCUCCUUUGCAAUGCUGCCUCCUCGAUCCUGCGGUAAGCUUCAUCAAGUGACGGUGAAAUCUCCUCAGGGGUGCCUGCAAAAAGAUAGGGUGCAUGAUGUGAAAUGUAGGUACAAAAAGUAGGGAGUUGCCAUGUGGGGGCAAAUCUACUUGCCAUGUGUAGUGCACUGUAGUUGCCAUGUGACAGCAACUACAGUUGUCAUAUUGUGUCAACUCUAGUUGCUAUGUGCUUGCCAAAUGAAAAAUGUAGCAUGGAAACAAAAAUACAGGUGACAUGGUGCAUCAAAUCUAGUUGCCAUGUGUAUUGCACUGUAGUUGCCAUGUGACAACAACUACAGUUGCCAUGUUGAAUCAACUUCAGUUGCCAUGUGAUUGCCGAAUGUAAAAUGCACCGUGGCAACACAAUUGUAGGUGACAUGGUGCAGCAAAUCCAGUUGCCAUGUCAUCACAUAAGAGUUGCCAUCACAAGUGAGAACCCCAAAAAGAAUGCUUGGUACAAAAGUCAGACUACACAGAUGUAUGCAAGAAAAUGAUAAGCACAUAAGAAAUGUACCUUGGACGAUCGGCUCUGCGAACUUGACAGCCUUCCUACCCUUAACCAUUGGCUGCGCCAUCAUUGCGGGCAUGCCUCCCGGGAAAGCAAAGGCAACGGGAAUAGGAUCUGGCACCAUUGGUUGAUCUUGACUGAUGCCAAGGCUGAAGCUCAGUGAGGUGAAGGCCAUUGGGUGCCUCUCAUGCCUAUUGGCCGGACCGCGAACAACUUGCGAGGCAGAAUCCAAGGGUGAAAGAUCAACAAACAUAUCUGAAUCGGCCACUACAGAAUGGUCGGGCUUAUUUGUAGGGCUGGGCGUGUUGUCAGCGGUAUCAACCGCAGCUUUCUUGACAAUCUUCUUGUUUGGGCUGUAGGGGACACCAACAUUAACUGGGAGCCUGGAAGUGCGCAGAUUUAAGCUGGGGAUUUCCACUGCGGGUAAAGGUGCAGUCUGCUUCGGACGUUCACCUGUGUCACUCGUGCCCGGCUUUACACCUGCAUCAGUUGUGCUCCGGUCUUCCGGUUUCUCCAUCACAUUGCUUUUGGCAGGUGGCGGAAAUAGUAUGGACGCAGGAACAUAACCAGACUCAUCUCUGGUGCUCCUAGCUACAGAUGGUGCGUUGGGUAUGUCUGUUGAUUGCUUGCGGGGGCUACGACGCCUAGGUGGAAGACCAGCACGCGAAACAGUCGCCUUAGCAGUAUCUGCACCGACAUGAGCUGGAGCUGUUGUGCCAAGACUCUCACCUGUAGAUGGCAUAUCAUUAUGAACGGCCACCUUAGCCACUUUUGUCGUGGACAUAGGAGUGCCACCACGCACACGCUUGGAAUCAGUGUCAGAUGAGCGGGAAUCUUCCUUGCUUAGGUUGGUCUCGGGAGCGUCCACUUCAACGCUUGCUGAUGGGGUGGCAUGGCUCACAAUAGCAUCCUUCAUUGCCAGAAGAGUUGGCAAUAUUUCAGCUGUCCUGGCAGAUACCGACUCGUCACUCCCCGAUGUACGGAUGCCUGUUGUUCUAACCUGCACAUUUGCAACCGGCGGAGAUGGUCGGCCACUUGCGUCAUAGUUAGUGGGAACAAUUGACGGUUCAGCAGCAGUUUUGUCGGCUGGCGCCUCAUGAACAUCUGAGUUGCCCCCUAUUGACAACUUUGAAUGAAGGCGUUCGAUUGGGUCCCUAAUGAUAUGCUUGGCCCCGUGUGCAGUAGUCUUCUUCACCCUGCAAAAAAAGAAAACACAUGAAAAAGAUAUUAAAAAAGAACAAACAAUAUUUGCCAUGGUAGAAAUCUAAAAAAAAUGAAAAAAUAGGUGGAAAAGCUGGUAGUUGCCAUGUAAGGGGAAUAUGAGUUGUCAUGUGGCAUAGUUAGCAGUUGCCAUGCAAAUCCAGCAAUAGUUGCCAUGUUAGCCAACUUGAAGAAUGAUAAAAAUGUCUGAUCUGCCAGGAAUGCAAUUUCAAAACUAGGUAUGGGAUGAGCACUCAAGCCAAUGGAAAAAAUGGCAGUUGCCAUUAGGUACAAUAAGAGUUGCCAUUUGGCCUAGAUAGCAGUUGCCAUGUAAAAGCAAGUAGGAGUUUGCCAUGUAGUUAAAAAGGAAGAAAAUCAUUUGAAAAUUGCCAUGUGGGGGAUGAUGACAGAAGCCCAUGUGACAAGCUGAACGUAUGCAUUGAAAAAUCAAAAAUAUAGCACUAUGCCAAUGAAAGCACAUGGAAAACCUACUUCUUGACUGGCUUUCUUAGGUCUGGCAACACGACAGGAUCCUCGGUGUUGGACGUCGUCGUACGAGGAGAUGACCUGGUGGAAGGGAUGUCACCAGCAAUGGGGGCACCUUUGUUCAACCGAGCAGAAACACGGGUUGGCGUUGGUGCCUGUUUCUUCGUAACUGCUCGUCCACGAGUUGUCGCCUCACUACACGUAUAAGAUGGAGGAAAAAAAGGUGGCAAUUGUCAGACAGCAAACUCGUUGCCGCGCUUAGCAAAAACAAAUGCAAAAAGGGAUCAUUCUGUUCCAAAAAUAUAGACAAAACAAAAAACUAAAAUUAAAGUCGAACCUCCUCCUAGCAGAUACGGGAUCGGUCCUAGACCUCUUGCCAGGAACCCUGCCCAACAUCCUCUGGAGCCCUCCCCCUCUUUGAUGGCAACACCCCCUCGCCUCUCGCAGCCGUAUGUUCUUUGACUUUCUCCGGUGGGGGGACAUCUGGUGCAUCCUUGCGCUUGUUACCACCUGCACGAACUUCAGCAUGUUCAUCAUCAUCGGCGUCCUGUUGCACGUUCUCCAUGUCAUCGUCGUCAUCCUUGCUGAGACCAGCGUCUCCAUCUAGUUCAUCUUGUGUGUCAGCAAGCUCUUGGGAACUGUUGUAGUCAUACCGGCCACGGCAAUCAGUUGGCCGAUGUGUCCAUUCUGGGACAAAUGUAGUGAACUGCCUCGCAACCGCGUCGCUGUCAGAGCCACUAAGGGACGUCCACCCCUCAACCAACUUCCCGAGCAGGCCGGUCAUUCCGGAUGCAAACUGCCCAAUUAGAUGCUCAACAGGUGCCCUCGCCUGUGCACGAAACAAGAAGCAACAAUAACCACCCAUAUUACAGUCACUUGCGCGACAUCAAAAAUAAUCCAAGGCAACCAUAGAUAUAGAUCUUUUGAUUACCUCAGUAGGGGCAAGACGGAGCUGAGUGCACGUCCAUCCACUUUCCAAAGUUUUGAGGCCCCCCAAACACAUUGUAGUCUAUAGUGUGCUUGGCCAUCAGUUGGAACAAACAAAAAAAAUAGCUAGGAUGUAAGAGAGAGAAUGAUGAACACUGACUAGCAGUUCAUGUGUUGCAAAAUGCAACAAAAAAAGAAGACGCAAAUAUAAGUUUCAGCACGAAUGACAGAGUUGUCAUGUGGAGUGAGACAUGGAUACCAUACGCAGACAGCCAUGGCUAACAAAGGUAGUCAUCUCUUGUGAACCACAGACGGUUGCCGCAUGACGAUUUUUUCAUAUGUUAUGCUGCAAAAAUUUGUAAGCAUGCUGUGUAGAGAAAGAAACCAGAACUAACCUGCAGUUUUCCAUAUUUGGUAUCAGUUACCUUGUCUGCAGCAAGCACAACCUUGACAACAUCGAUAGUCCACGCAGAAACAACAAACUUGUGUGUAGGAGGCGGGCCUCCUAUCCCAGUGAAAUCCACAAUGGACAGAUCAAGACAGUCGACGUACAUGAGCUGAUGUACAACAAUUUUAAAAAGAAAGAAAUAUCAGUUGCCAUCAUGGUACUUUGCGAAAAAACGGGAUAAUCUAUGUUCCCAUGAUACAAGUUGAAGUGCAUGAAAAAUAGAAAAAAAAGAAGUUGCCAUCUGUAUGUCGUAGUUGCCAUCAUAGUGUGAUGGCAGUUGCCAUAUUGCCAUGAUGGCAGUUGCCAUAUUGCCAUUAUGGCAGUUGCCAUAUUGUUAUGAUCAGGUUGCCAUGCAUGAAUAAAAUGUGUUAAAAAGAGUGUUCACAAAAAGGACUGGUAAAAAAAUACCAUUAAAUGCAGUCGACAACCCUUCUGGUACAUCUUGCUUGAGAAUGCAUCGUGCAGGAAGUCGGCAAUAAACUUACACCAAUUCAUGUUCUUCACAUCUUUCAAUUUCGCCUGCACCACACAAAUUUUCAGGACAACGAGUUGCCGCAUCAGAAAUCAAAUGAAAAAAAACAUCAAAAAACACUGGCAGUGACUAGCUUUGCACAUGACACCGGAGCCAAAAGAUUGAAUGAAAACAAUGUAGUAAAGAUAGAUCAUUCACCAGGAUGGGGAAGCAUUUGUUGCUUGGGCGAAGAGAAGUGGUCGGUGCGAAAACAGCUGAGAUGAGGUACAUGAUUAGCUUCAUCUUAAAAACCUCGCCAUGGGUUGUCAUGGUCUGCAGCGAAUCUGCCAGUACAGACGUGUUCGGCAUGGAUUCCAACCCAGGAAACAAAUGGGGGAACAUCGCUUCCUCGAUCUUGUUAUUGACCUCGUACGGGAAUUUGAUUUGUCCACGAGGCACACCCAAAGUGCAGAACACGGAUUCCUCGUUCAAUGGCAGUCUUCCACGUCCUGGAAUAACAAAUUCCCUGGAGGCGGGGUCGUAAAUCUCACCAAGCCAGUCGCAUACAGGGUUGACAAGAUUCGUGCACCGGACAUUCAUCAGAGCCUGCAUACCCAUCUCAGCAACAGCUCCCUUCUGAUCGUCGGUAAAUCUGUCAGUCAAUGUAGUCAGUCGUUCUUGGGAGGCCCUGUUGCGAAUACGUUUCUUUUUCUGCAAAAAACAGACCAAAAUGAUCAGUUGUUGCCUUGCACUGUCAUGAAAUUUUAGUUCAUGACAAACGACUGCAAGCUCGAGGUGGCAACCAAUAACAUAUGCAGGAGGAGGAGGGUGUGUGGACAGUUACCUCAUCGCCCUCUUUUCUUCGUCCAGUUGCCCGAUUCUACUGUGGUGGAUCCAUGAAAUCAUCAUCAUCGUUUUGAUGAUCACCGCGAGCCAUUCUGCUGAGGUAGCAACAGACCAAAUUGUCACGGUGGAAAUGAAAAUGCAGGAAGUAAGCAGUUGCCACAUAACAGAAAAUGUCAACUAGUGAAUGCAAAAUAUCACAUGAACACGCACGCACCCCCCUAUGAUUGUCGAAAACAUAAAUGUGGCAAUUAAGCACAUUGGUUACAUUUGAAAAAAAGUGUACAGAUCGUAAAUGCACUUAAAAACAAAAUGUUGAAGUUGCCAUGUUAGCACAAGAUAGUACGAAAUAAAGUCACAAAAUCCUCCACUACACAAAACCUAAGAUGUGACAGCUCACACCCUGUCCUAAAUACACCAAUGAAUUGCCAUGUGUUCAGUGGCAAAAAUGUGCUAGGUUGAAAUUGCCAUGUUAAAAUGCAACACAAAAUACAAAAAAGCGAUGAAAAACAUCUAAUGAACAACCUGAAAUUGCCACAGUGUGUUCAGAUAUCAGAAGUCAUCAUGGCAAAAUAUGAAAAUUGCGUCUACCGUACAAUGAAUUUGCCACAUUAUACUGAUUGGAUACAUAUUGAAAGUGGGAGCAAUUAGCUAGAGUAGCUCCGUGCAGAGCAUUAUGGACAUAGAAUAUUUGCGAAAUACAUACGGCUCUCAAUAUGACAGGCCCGUUGACUAAAGUUCUCUCACAAGCAAAACAUUAUCAUACCUUAGUACUCUUUGGGUGUUAAUCACAUAGCGAUGUGAACUAGAUUAUUGACUCUAGUUAACCCUUUGGGUGUUGAUCACAUGAUGAUGUGAACUAUGGGUAUUAAUCACAUGCAGAUGUGAAUAUUGGUGUUAAAUCACAUAGCGAUGUGAACUAGAUUAUUGACUCUAGUGCAAGUGGGAGACUGAAGGAAAUAUGCCCUAGAGGCAAUAAUAAAGUUAUUAUUUAUUUCCUUAUUUCAUGAUAAAUGUUUAUUAUUCAUGCUAGAAUUGUAUUAACCGGAAACAUGAUACAUGUGUGAAUACAUAGACAAACAUAUAGUCACUAGUAUGCCUCUACUUAACUAGCUCAUUAAUCAAAGAUGGUUAUGUUUCCUAACCAUAGACAUGUGUUGUCAUUUGAUUAAUGGGAUCACAUUAUUAGGAGAAUAAUGUGAUUGACAUGACCCAUUCCGUUAGCCUAGCACUUGAUCGUUUAGUAUGUUGCUAUUGCUUUCUUCAUGACUUAUACAUGUUCCUGUAACUAUGAGAAUUAUGCAACUCCCGUUUACCGAAGGAACACUUUGGGUACUACCAAACGUCACAACGUAACUGGGUGAUUAUAAAGGAGUACUACAGGUGUCUCUGAAGGUACAUGUUGAGUUGGCGUAUUUCGAGAUUAGGUUUUGUCACUCCGAUUGUCGGAGAGGUAUCUCUGGGCCCUCUCGGUAAUGCACAUCAUUAUAAGCCUUGCAAGCAAUGUGACCAAAUGAGUUGGUUACGGGAUGAUGCAUUACGGAACGAGUAAAGAGACUUGCCGGUAACGAGAUUGAACUAGGUAUUGGAUACCGACGAUCAAAUCUCGGGCAAGUAACAUACCGAUGACAAAGGGAACAAAGUAUGUUGUUAUGCGGUUUGACCGAUAAAGAUCUUCGUAGAAUAUGUAGGAGCCAAUAUGGGCAUCCAGGUUCCGCUAUUGGUUAUUGACCAAGAAUAGUUCUAGGUCAUGUCUACAUAGUUCUCGAACCCGUAGGGUCCGCACGCUUAAGGUUUCGAUGACAGUUAUAUUAUAAGUUUAUGAGUUUUGAUGUACCGAAGGAGUUCGGAGUCCCGGAUGAGAUCGGGGACAUGACGAGGAGUUUCGAAAUGGUCGAGACGUAAAUAUCGAUAUAUUGGACGACUAUAUUCGGAGUUCGGAAAGGUUCCGAGUGAUUCGGGUAUUUUUCGGAGUACCGGAGAGUUACGGGAAUUCGCCAGGGAGUAUAUGGGCCUUAUUGGGCCAUACGGGAAUAGUGGAGAGAGGCCAAAAGGAAGGAGGCCUGCGCCCCCCCUCUGGUCCGAAUUGGACAAGGGGCGCAGCCCCCCUUUCCUUCUUCCUCUCCCCCUCUUUCCCCCUCUCCUACUCCAACAAGGGAGGUGGAAUCCUACUAGGACUAGGGAGUCCUAGUAGGACUCCACACUUGGCGCGCCCCCUCCUAGGGCCGGCCACCUCCCCCCUUACUCCUUUAUAUACGGGGGCAGGGGGGCACCCCAGGACACACAAGUUGAUCUACGGAUCGUUCCUUAGCCGUGUGCGGUGCCCCCCUCCACCAUAUUCCACCUCAGUCAUAUCGUCGCGGAGUUUAGGCGAAGUCCUGCGCCGGUAGAGCAUCAUCGUCGUCACCACGCCAUCGUGCUGACGGAACUCAUCCCCGAUGCUUUGCUGGAUCGGAGCCCGGGGAUCGUCAUCGAGUUGAACGUGUGCUGAACUCGGAGGUGCCGUACGUUCGGUACUUGGAUCGGUCGGAUCGUGAAGACGUACGACUACAUCAACCGCGUUGUGCUAACGCUUCCGCUUACGGUCUACGAGGGUACAUGGACAACACUCUCCCCUCUCGUUGCUAUGCCAUCACCAUGAUCUUGCGUGUAUGUAGGAAAUUUUUGAAAUUACUACGUUCCCCAACAGUGGCAUCCGAGCCUAGGUUUUAUGCGUUGAUGUUAUAUGCACGAGUAGAACACAAGUGAGUUGUGGGCGAUACAAGUCAUACUGCUUACCAGCAUGUCAUACUUUGGUUCGGCGGUAUUGUGAGAUGAAGCGGCCCGGACCGACAUUACGCAUACGCUUACGCGAGACUGGUUUCACCGUACGAGCACUCGUGCUUAAAGGUGGCUGGCGGGUGUCUGUCUCUCUCACUUUAGCUGAAUCGAGUGUGGCUACGCCCGGUCCUUGCGAAGGUUAAAACAGCACUAACUUGACGAACUAUCGUUGUGGUUUUGAUGCGUAGGUAAGAACGGUUCUUGCUAAGCCCGUAGCAGCCACGUAAAAUUUGCAACAACAAAGUAGAGGACGUCUACCUUGUUUUUGCAGGGCAUGUUGUGAUGUGAUAUGGUCAAGACGUGAUGCUAUAUUUUAUUGUAUGAGAUGAUCAUAUUUUGUAACCGAAGUUAUCGGCAACUGGCAGGAGCCAUAUGAUUGUCGCUUUAUUGUAUGAAAUGCAAACGCCCUGUAAUUGCUUUACUUUAUACUAAGUGGUAGCGAUAGUCGUAGAAGCAAUAGAUGGCGUAAUGACAACGAUGCUACGAUGGAGAUCAAGGUGUCGUGCCGGUGACGAUGGUGAUCACGACGGUGCUUCGAAGAUGGAGAUCACAAGCACAAGAUGAUGAUGGCCAUAUCAUAUCACUUAUAUUGAUUGCAUGUGAUGUUUAUCCUUUAUGCAUCUUAUCUUGCUUUGAUUGACGGUAGCAUUUUAAGAUGAUCUCUCACUAAUUAUCAAGAAGUGUUCUCCCUGAGUAUGCACCGUUGCGAAAGUUCUUCGUGCUGAGACACCACGUGAUGAUCGGGUGUGAUAGGCUCUACGUUCAAAUACAACGGGUGCAAAACAGUUGCACACGCGGAAUACUCGGGUUAAACUUGACGAGCCUAGCAUAUACAGAUAUGGCCUCGGAACACGGAGACCGAAAGGUCGAGCGUGAAUCAUAUAGUAGAUAUGAUCAACAUAUUGAUGUUCACCGUUGAAACUACUCCAUCUCACGUGAUGAUCGGACAUGGUGUAGUUGAUAUGGAUCACGUAAUCACUUAGAGGAUUAGAGGGAUGUCUUUCUAAGUGGGAGUUCUUAAGUAAUAUGAUUAAUUGAACUUUAAUUUAUCAUGAACUUAGUCCUGGUAGUAUUUUGCAAAUUAUGUUGUAGAUCAAUAGCUUGCGUUGUUGCUUUCAUAUGUUUUGAUAUGUUCCUAGAGAAAAUUGUGUUGAAAGAUGUUAGUAGCAAUGAUGCGGAUUUGAUCCGUGAUCUGAGGUUUAUCCUCAUUGCUGCACAGAAGAAUUAUGUCCUUAAUGCACCGCUAGGUGACAGACCUAUUGCUGGAGCAGAUGCAGACGUUAUGAACGUUUGGCUAGCUCAAUAUGAUGACUACUUGAUAGUUUUGUGCACCAUGCUUUACAGCUUAAAAUCGGGACUUCAAAGACGUUUUGGACGUCAUGGACCAUAUGAGAUGUUCCACGAGUUGAAAUUAAUAUUUCCAGCAAAUACCCGAGUUGAGAGAUAUGAAGUCUCCAACAAGUUCUAUAGCUAAAAGAUGGAGGAGAAUCGCUCAACUAGUGAGCAUGUGCUCAGAUUGUCUGGGUACUUCAAUCACUUGAAUCAAGUGGGAGUUAAUCUUCCAGAUAAGAUAGUGAUUGACAGAAUUCUCUAGUCACCAUCACCAAGUUAGUAGAACUUUGUGAUGAACUAUAGUAUGCAAGGGAUGACGAAAACGAUUCCCGAGCGCUUCGUGAUGUUGAAAUCAACGAAGUUAGAAAUCAAGAAAGAGCAUCAAGUGUUGAUGGUUGACAAGAUCACUAGUUUCAAGAAAAAGGGCAAAGGGAAAGAAAGGGGAACUUCAAGUAGAAUGACAAGAAAGUUGUCACUCCCAUGAAGAAGCCCAAAGCUGAACCAAAGCCUGAAACUGAGUGCUUAUACUGCAAAGGAAAUGGUCACUAGAAGCGGAAAUGCCUUGAAUAUUUGGUGGAUAAGAAGGAUGGCAAAGUGAACAAGGGUAUAUUUGAUAUACAUGUUAUUGAUGUGUACCUUACUAGUGUUUAUAGUAACCCCUGAGUAUUUGAUACUUGUUUGGUUGCUAAAUAUUAGUAACUCGAAACAGGAGUUACAGAAUAAACAGAAACUAGUUGAGGGUGAAGUGACGAUGUGUGUUGGAAGUGGUUCCAAGAUUGAUAUGAUCAUCAUCGCACACUCCCUAUACUUUCGGGAUUAGUGUUAAACCUAAAUAAAUGUUAUUUGGCGUUUGCGUUGAGCAUGAAUAUGAUUUGAUCAUGUUUAUUGCAAUACGGUUAUUCAUUUAAAGUCAGAGAAUAAUUGUUGUUCUGUUUACAUGAAUAAAAUUUCCAAUGGUCAUACACCCAAUGAAAAUAGUUUGUUGGAUCUUGAUCAUAGUGAUACACAUAUUCAUAAUAUUGAUGCCAAAAGAUGAAAAGUUAAUAAUGAUAGUGCAACUUAUUUGUGGCACUACCGUUUGGGUCAUAUCGGUGUAAAGCGCAUGAAGAAACUCUAUAAAGAUGGAUUUUCGGAAUCACUUGGUUAUGAAUCAUUUGAUGCUUGCGAACUAUGCCUUUUAGGCAAGAUGACUAAAACUCCGUUCUCCGGAACAAUGGAACGAGCUAGUGACUUAUUGGAAAUAAUACAUACCGAUGUAUGCAGUCCAAUGAGUGUUGAUGCUCGUGGCGGGUAUCGUUAUUUUCUGACCUUCACGAGAUGAUUUGAGCAGAUAUAAGUAUAUCUUCUUGAUGAAACAUAAGUCUGAAAUAAUUGAAAGGUUCAAAGAAUUUCAGAGUGAAGUGGAAAAAUCAUCGUAACAAGAAAAUAAACUUUCUACGAUCUGAUCGCGGAGACGAAUAUUUCAGUUACGAGUUUGGUCUUCAAUUAAAAUAACGUGGAAUAGUUUCACAGCUCACGCCACCUGGAACACCACAACAUUAUGGUGUGUCCGAACAUCGUAACCGCACUUUAUUGGAUAUGGUGCGAUCUAUGAUGUCUCUUAUCAGUUUUACCACUAUCGUUUUGGGGUUGUGCAUUAGAGACAACUGCAUUCACGUUUAAAAGGGCACCAUCUAAAUCCGUUGAGACGACACCGUAUGAACUAUGGUUUAGCAGUAAACCUAAGCUGUCGUUUCUUAAAGUUUAGAGUUGCGAUGCUUAUAUGAAAAAAGUUUCAACCUGAUAAGCUCAAACCCAAAUCGAAGAAGUGCGUCUUCAUAGAAUACCCAAAGUUAACUAUUGGGUACACCUUCUAUCACAGAUCGGAAGGCAAGAUAUUCAUUGCUAAGAAUGGAUCCUUUCUAGAGAAGGAGUUUCUCUCGAAAGAAGUGAGUGGGAGGAAAGUAGAACUUGAUGAGGUAACUGUACCUGCUCCCUUAUUGGAAAGUAGUUCAUCACAGAAAUCUAUUCGUGUGACUACUACACCAAUUAGUGAGGAAGUUAAUGAUGAUGAUCAUGAAACUUCAGAUUAAGUUACUAUAGAACCUCGUAGGUCUUACAGAGUAAGAUCCGCACCAGAGUGGUACGGUAAUACUGUUCUGGAAGUUAUGUUACUAGACCAUGACGAACCUACGAACUAUGAAGAAGCGAUGGUGAGCCCAGAUUCCGCAAAAUGGCUUGAGGCCAUGAGAUCUGAGAUAAGAUCCAUGUAUGAAAACAAAGUAUGGACUUUGAUUGACUUGCCCAAUGAUCGGCGAGACAUUGAGAUUAAAUGGAUCUUCAAGAGGAAGACGGACGCUGAUAGUGUUACUAUCUACAAAGCUAGAAUUGUUGCAAAAGGUUUUCGACAAGUUCAAGGUGUUGGCUACGAUGAGAGUUUUUCACUCGUAUCUAUGCUUAAGUCUAUCUGAAUCAUAUUAGCAAUUGCCGCAUUUUAUGAAAUCUGGCAAAUGGAUAAACAAAACUGCAUUCCUUAAUGGUUUUCUUAAAAGAAGAGUUGUAUAUGAUGCAACCAGAAGGUUUUGUCAAUCCUAAAGGUGCUAACAAAUUGUGCAAGCUCCAGCGAUCCAUCUAUGGACUGGUGCAAUAUAUGCUUUGAUUAGUUGAUCAAAGCAUAUGGUUUUAUACAGACUUUUGAAGAAGCUUGUAUUUACAAGAAAGUGAGUGGGAGCACAACAGCAUUUCUGAUAAGUAUAUGUGAAUGACAUAUUGUUGAUUGGAAAUAAUAUAGAAUUAUUCUGCAUAGCAUGAAAGGAUACUUGAAUAAGAGUUUUUCAAAGCAAGACCUCGGUGAAGCUGCUUACACAUUGAGCAUCAAGAUCUAUAUAGAUAGAUCAAGACGCUUGAUAAGAUUUUUCAAUGAGUACAUACCUUGAUAAUUUUUUGAAAUAGUUCAAAAUGGAACAGUCAAAGAAGAAGUUCUUGCCUGUGUUACAACGUGUGAAGUUGAGUAAGACUCAAGACCCGACCAUUGCAGAAAAUAGAAAGAGAAUGAAAAGUCAUUCCCUAUGCCUCAGUCAUAGGUUCUAUAAAGUAUGCUAUGCUGUGAACCAGACCUAUUGUAUACCUUGCUCCGUGUUUGGCAAAGGAAUACAAUUUUGAUCUAAUAAGUAGAUCACUGGACAUGGGUCAAGAAUAUCCUUAGUGAGGACUAAGGAGAUGUUUCUCGAUUAUGGAGGUGAUAAAAGAGCCCGUCAUAAAAGUUACAACGAUGCAAGCUUUUACACCAAUCCAGAUGACUCUAAGUCUCAAUCUGGAUACAUAUUGAAAGUGGGAGCAAUUAGCUAGAGUAGCUCCGUGCAGAGCAUUGUGGACAUAGAAUAUUUGCGAAAUACAUACGGCUCUGAAUAUGACAGACCCGUUGACUAAAGUUCUCUCACAAGCAAAAUAUGAUCAUACCUUAGUACUCUUUGGGUGUUAAUCACAUAGCGAUGUGAACUAGAUUAUUGACUCUAGUUAACCCUUUGGGUGUUGAUCACAUGAUGAUGUGAACUAUGGGUAUUAAUCACAUGCAGAUGUGAAUAUUGGUGUUAAAUCACAUAGCGAUGUGAACUAGAUUAUUGACUCUAGUGCAAGUGGGAGACUGAAGGAAAUAUGCCCUAGAGGCAAUAAUAAAGUUAUUAUUUAUUUCCUUAUUUCAUGAUAAAUGUUUAUUAUUCAUGCUAGAAUUGUAUUAACCGGAAACAUGAUACAUGUGUGAAUACAUAGACAAACAUAUAGUCACUAGUAUGCCUCUACUUAACUAGCUCAUUAAUCAAAGAUGGUUAUGUUUCCUAACCAUAGACAUGUGUUGUCAUUUGAUUAAUGGGAUCACAUUAUUAGGAGAAUAAUGUGAUUGACAUGACCCAUUCCGUUAGCCUAGCACUUGAUCGUUUAGUAUGUUGCUAUUGCUUUCUUCAUGACUUAUACAUGUUCCUGUAACUAUGAGAAUUAUGCAACUCCCGUUUACUGGAGGAACACUUUGGGUACUACCAAACGUCACAACGUAACUGGGUGAUUAUAAAGGAGUACUACAGGUGUCUCCGAAGGUACAUGUUGAGUUGGCGUAUUUCGAGAUUAGGUUUUGUCACUCCGAUUGUCGGAGAUGUAUCUCUGGGCCCUCUCGGUAAUGCACAUCAUUAUAAGCCUUGCAAGCAAUGUGACCAAAUGAGUUGGUUACGGGAUGAUGCAUUACGGAACGAGUAAAGAGACUUGCCGGUAACGAGAUUGAACUAGGUAUUGGAUAUCGACGAUCAAAUCUCGGGCAAGUAACAUACCGAUGACAAAGGGAACAAAGUAUGUUGUUAUGUGGUUUGGCCGAUAAAGAUCUUCAUAGAAUAUGUAGGAGCCAAUAUGGGCAUCCAGGUUCCGCUAUUGGUUAUUGACCAAGAAUAGUUCUAGGUCAUGUCUACAUAGUUCUCGAACCCGUAGGGUCCGCACGCUUAAGGUUUCGAUGACAGUUAUAUUAUAAGUUUAUGAGUUUUGAUGUACCGAAGGAGUUCGGAGUCCCGGAUGAGAUCGGGGACAUGACAAGGAGUCUCGAAAUGGUCGAGACGUAAAGAUCGAUAUAUUGGACGACUAUAUUCUGAGUUCGAAAAGGUUCCGAGUGAUUCGGGUAUUUUUCGGAGUACCGGAGAGUUACGGGAAUUCGCCGGGGAGUAUAUGGGCCUUAUUGGGCCAUACGGGAAUAGUGGAGAGAGGCCAAAAGGAAGGAAGCCUGCGCCCCCCCUCUGGUCCGAAUUGGACAAGGGGCGCAGCCCCCCUUUCCUUCUUCCUCUCCCCCUCUUUCCCCCUCUCCUACUCCAACAAGGGAGGUGGAAUCCUACUAGGACUAGAACAUGAAGGCGCGCGUUGCCGCGCCUGUCCAUCGUGAAGCAAAUGAUUAUAAGUAUCAGCAAAAACUUGAAUGUAUAAACAAUUUAUAAUUUGUAUCAUUCGAAUCACUUGAAUCAUAGUGGCACGAUGUCAAUGGUUGGGCAUAUCUAUUUAAGUUAUAUACAGCAGGCCCACUUACAAAAAAAAA
rnacentral:lncRNA from 1 species